rnacentral:rRNA from 1 species
CGACCUGCACGAAUGGCGUAAUGAUGGCCAGGCUGUCUCCACCCGAGACUCAGUGAAAUUGAACUCGCUGUGAAGAUGCAGUGUACCCGCGGCAAGACGGAAAGACCCCGUGAACCUUUACUAUAGCUUGACACUGAACAUUGAGCCUUGAUGUGUAGGAUAGGUGGGAGGCUUUGAAGUGUGGACGCCAGUCUGCAUGGAGCCGACCUUGAAAUACCACCCUUUAAUGUUUGAUGUUCUAACGUUGACCCGUAAUCCGGGUUGCGGACAGUGUCUGGUGGGUAGUUUGACUGGGGCGGUCUCCUCCUAAAGAGUAACGGAGGAGCACGAAGGUUGGCUAAUCCUGGUCGGACAUCAGGAGGUUAGUGCAAUGGCAUAAGCCAGCUUGACUGCGAGCGUGACGGCGCGAGCAGGUGCGAAAGCAGGUCAUAGUGAUCCGGUGGUUCUGAAUGGAAGGGCCAUCGCUCAACGGAUAAAAGGUACUCCGGGGAUAACAGGCUGAUACCGCCCAAGAGUUCAUAUCGACGGCGGUGUUUGGCACCUCGAUGUCGGCUCAUCACAUCCUGGGGCUGAAGUAGGUCCCAAGGGUAUGGCUGUUCGCCAUUUAAAGUGGUACGCGAGCUGGGUUUAGAACGUCGUGAGACAGUUCGGUCCCUAUCUGCCGUGGGCGCUGGAGAACUGAGGGGGGCUGCUCCUAGUACGAGAGGACCGGAGUGGACGCAUCACUGGUGUUCGGGUUGUCAUGCCAAUGGCACUGCCCGGUAGCUAAAUGCGGAAGAGAUAAGUGCUGAAAGCAUCUAAGCACGAAACUUGCCCCGAGAUGAGUUCUCCCUGACUCCUUGAGAGUCCUGAAGGAACGUUGAAGACGACGACGUUGAUAGGCCGGGUGUGUAAGCGCAGCGAUGCGUUGAGCUAACCGGUACUAAUGAACCGUGAGGCUUAACCUUACAACGCCGAAGGUGUUUUG